UGGCUUCCUGGGCUUUGGUGGCGCUGGCUCUGGUGAUAACCACUUCCUGCUCCCGGCCAGGGUGACUCCGGACUUCCUUCUGCUCCUGGGGUCAUCGCUGAGCCUGGCUCAUUGUAGCUUCAUCUAGGGAGAUCUUCUUCCUGCAGGGGGUGGGGGGGCUCCACAGUUUGCACAGCCCGGCUCCCCAUUCUGCUGUGAAGGUAGGACAGGAGCUGGGUUUCCAAUGAGUGACCAGGAAAACGGAACUUUGAAGGGGCGUGUCUGUUUAAUGAGGGAUCAGGCUAAAUGGAACCCAACCCAAUGCCUUUCCAGGUAAAAGCUGAUGUCGUGAAGCCUGGAGUUUUUCCGAGAUGCCAGAGGCUGCGUCACAGCACUCUUGGCUUCUCAUCUAAACCUAUUCCUCUCACAGAACAGAGCCAUGUGUGAGAUUCCUUUGUGGUCCCAGAGUGGAUCAUCUUGCCUGUAGGGUAGCCUUGGGGCACCACUGCUUGUCAGGGUUGAGCAGGAAGGCAGACCAGGAAACUCUUGAGUCUUCCUCCCACUUCCAGCCAGUCUUCCACCUGACCAGGAGGAACUAGGAGAGGAGGAAGGCCUGAGACAUUGGAGGGAAGCUACUCAGACUUUUCUGUAGAAUGUUCUAGAGCACCU